GGUGAGGGAAGCUCAUCAGCAGGGCCACAUGCUGGGUGCUUAUCACUUGCUGACCCCUGGGAAGUUCUGAGACUGGGCCCUCCCCAAGAAAGCAGGGAGGUGAAUUCCCAGAGCAGGCAGACCCUGCAGGAGAGGCCCUGGGUGUGCUGGCAGAUGCCUCCCUCACAGGAACUUGGAACAGACUCAGAGCCAGGAUGGGCAGAGCUGGUAUUAGCCUACAGGAGAGGCUCCUGUGGCUCUCACAGAAGGCAGAAAUGCAUUCUCUCUACAGGCAGGCAGAGGUACAGAGAUAGGUGAGGUUGGGAGUUUACUGCCUGCACACUCUGAAUCUAAAUCCCCCUCC
rnacentral:RNase_P_RNA from 1 species